rnacentral:misc_RNA from 1 species
GGAAGUAAAGUCGUAACAAGGUUUCCGUAGGUGAACCUGCGGAAGGAUCAUUCAUAAUAAAGUGUUUUAUGGCACUUUUUAAAAAUCCAUAUCCACCUUGUGUGCAAUGUUAGAUCUCGUCAAUCUUGGCGAGAUUUUUAUACAUCAACUCAUUUUUUAACUAAUUUGUCUGAAAAAUAUUAUGAAUACUUAAUUCAAAAUACAACUUUCAACAACGGAUCUCUUGGCUCUC